GCAGAAUAGUUUCACACAGCAUAUUCACACAGACCAACUUUCCCAUUCCCCAGUACUCCAGCCACCUCGACAACUGCCUGACAUUUUUUCCUAUUAGCUGUCCUAUUAAAAAGGUGGUCUUCAAUAAAGGUAUACUUAGCUGCGAUUUCGGCAUUCCAUCUGGAAGGUCUCAACAACUAGUAGCCUUCUGUAAAAACCCUGGUAUGACAAUGGAGUUUUUCUCAACGUGUAUAAACCAUUUGGACCUUUAGUGAGGUAUGAGUUAUUUUACCAUACAAGACUGCAUUUCUAGUAGUGAUCACAUCAGCAUGGAAGGUGGGAGAGCUACAUGCCUAUGCUGUAACACACACACCUUUACCAAAUUUCCUCACGUCAAAGUCUUAUGUCCAAGUAUGGAGUUUCUUAUUUCUGCUUAUUUAAAGACAUUGCUUUCCUACCAGCCUUCUUCCCAGUUCCACAGACUUCGGCCAAACAGACUUUACACACACUGAACAUUCGAAGAGUGCUGCAUUUUAUAUUUACAAUGCACAAUUCUAGGUGGAUGGUCUGCGCUCUUAGGGUAGCUUAUGACAAAGCUACAGUGGAAUUCUCCCUUCCACUCAGCUCAUUAGGUCAGAGCUAAAUCCUUGUCUGCCAUGUUCCUAGCCAAGACCGACCUACAAGACAUCUGCAGGGAAGUGAUGUGGUCAUCUUCCACUUUUGUGAGCCACUAUUCCAUCUAUGUGGAUUCCAGGAAUGCAGCGGCUGUAGGGAGAGCGAUUUUACAGUCACUUUUCUGCUGAACUGCCCACACCCACCUCCUUGAUAUGUAACUAAUUACUUGCUACUCUUCCAUGUGGGGCUGCAUAGAAGCCACAAUGAUGAAAGCAAAUUUUCACUUACCUGUAACUAUUCUUCACUGAGUGUUUUCAGUGCAGGAACACAUCCCUCCCUCCUUCCCCUGCUGUGGGCUUAUUGCUUAUCUGAUCGAUGUGCUCUACCACAGUGGAGGAAGAACUAAGAAAAGAGCUCUUUCCCCACCUCUACCAUGUAACUUUGGGUGGGAAAACUCUGACUCUAGGCUCAAGAUGGAGGGGAGGGGGUGCACUCUGAGACACUGAAUCUUCUAGAAGCUUAAGACGUCCAUUCUCUGCGGCUGGCCUGAGUCUGUGCAAUCCCUUAAGUACCUGCACAGAAGACAUUCAAUGAACAACAAAUACAGGUAAGUGCAACCCUUGUUUUACCAAGUUUGAGAGUUUUCAGGUUUCUUGAAAUAUUUAGUUAUUGGUGUCUUUGUAUAUAGCAGUCACAACAUUUGGUUCAGCCAUCCAGUUUAGAGGGCAGAUGUGGGAAUCUUCUAGUAUGUAUGUUGUAUAAACACAAUUUAUUCUUUUCUUGAACUCCAGGUCUGUUUAUCAUAUUUACUUUCUGGGGCACAAUAAUAGAGAGUGGCUUCCUUAUGGUCACUGAAUUUGAUUAACAUAUUAUUGUAAAUGUGAUCUGGGGCUUUCUGGAAUGUACCCUUUUAUGCAUCAAUCAGGGGAAAAUAGAAUGCUAAAGCUGAUCAUACAGAUGCUGAUUUUGUUCAUGCAGAGGAAGCAGCAGCAGCAGCUGACCCACGUGGUGAAAAGGCUGGUGCGUCUUGCUUGUCAUUAACUGAAAUAUGUACGGCCCUAAUGCAAUAUCAUUUUGUGCCUUCUUUUACUUCUAGGAAACCAGAACUGCAUUUUGCCUGGAGUUUUCUGCUGCACCUUGAAUUCCUUAAAUGGUUCCUCCAGCAGAAAUAGAAUCAAGAAAGUUUCCUGUACUUCCUAGAAGCCAUCUCUACAGCCAGUGUGCUAUGCUAGUGCUGAGUAGCACCAAACUUAUCUGGUUUCCAAAAGAGAGAACAUGGGGCUGCAGCCCCCAUCUCCAUUACCCUCCUCGUUGUUUUUGAGAGGGGGGGGGGUUGUAGGUUCUCCUUCCCGUUGUGCCUCUUCUGUUCCUGCCCUUAGUUUCCCCUAAUAGUGAACAUUAUUAUUUAACCUCACCGUUCUCUCACCUUGACAUCACCUACCACAGCCAAUGUGGAACAUGAAGAAAAAUAUCUGUUCUUUACUAGAAAACCUCUGUGCAGGAGAGAAAUUGCUUUUGUUCUGGUAGGGACAGAGGUCCUGUAAAAGUGUCCCCGGCCAGUUUAUGACAUGGUGUAAUACUGGUGAAAGUUUUGUUUUAGGUUCCAGCAUCUGGGCUCUUUCAAGAAGCCUUGAGGCAUGUGCACAGUCAUUGAUACUAAGCAUACAGGCUCCCAUGCCUUCCUAUGUUUUUCCAGAAAUGUUCUGAAAAGACAAGGAAGUAAAAGAGCUGAAGCAGAUAGAGAAGGAAAUGAAUGUACCCUAAUUUAAAGUGGGAAUAACUGUAUAUCCUGAAUUCAGGCCACCACUGUUACGAAA